UGAAAAAACGACAUCCAAGUUCUACACUGAUAGCACAGUACAUGGACAUAACUUUUUCGCUAAGAAGAAAAGAGUUGGUUGAAAGGAGCCUUCAGUAAAAGAGACUUUACAAAGAUGGCCAGCACUCUUCAGGGAAAGUCAGAUUAUUGCUGAGUUCAACCGGAUAACAAGCAAAAACCUCAAGCAAGAAUUCUUCUCAGCCCUUGAUAAAAAUACUUCUCGUUUUCUGGAGAUUUUUGAAUCCAAGAAAGGCACAGCUGGAAAAAAGCUCUCAGAGUAUCUAAUACAAAUGAAGUCUGCAAACAUCACUGAUGUCACUGCUCGACGGACAGCAGUUCUCCGUGGUCUUGCAGUCCUUCUUGGAGAAGACACUACAGACUUCUUCAAAACAUGUUUUGAUAUUGAUAUUGUCACACCUCAAGUAUCAAUAGGAAUUCUCACUGUGGUGCCAGAGGACAGCCCCAUAUCUCCACAAGGUUUGCCAUUGGAGGUCACUGAUACAGCAAUCAUUUUGGAGGGUCUUAUAGCAAUGGAUGGACUUGAGAAUGUUCCACAUGCCAUGUGUUUUGUUUUUGGACUGAUCUAUGCUUUAAAUAUGGAGUACCCUUCACAGCUUAAAUACACUUUUGAGUUCAUUCAAAGGGUUUUUCUUUCCCUGGGGCACAAAUCUCUCAAGCCAAAACUGCAAUCACUAAAAAACCUACUGUUUUAAUGUUUUUUUUUGUUUUUGUUUCUGAUUGCAGAAACAAGUCUGGUUACUGUAGGUUUGUUUUUUGCGUGUAUGUUUCUGAUGGCAGAAACAAUACCAUGUUACUGUAGGUCUGUUGUAGCAUUUUUUAUUUAUUUUUAAUCAGUCACCUGCCAACCUGGAUACAAAACAAAAACUCCAGUCACUAAAAGCUUUGUAGUCAAGAAUUUGUUCAAUAUAUUUUUAAUUGCAGAAACCAAUUGGUCUAUUGUUGCCUUCUGGGUGUUGUAUCCAGAUUGAUGGGUGACUGAUUAAAAAUCUUAAUACCUGCAACUUAACCUUGAUGUUUUUAUCUGUUUUUGUUUUAUGCUUCUGAUGGCAGAAAAAGACCAUGUGAUUGUAGGUCUGUUGUUGCACUUUUGCAAUGUUGUUGAUGGAUGACUGAUUAAAACAAAUCUGUUUUAUUUAAAAUCUUAAGUGUUUGCAGAAACAAAAUCAAAAACAAAACUCUAAUUGCUGCAUAAAUUGGAUGUUUUGGUCAAGGUGUGUUCUUUGUGUUUCUGAUGGCAGAAACAAGACUGUGUUGCAUUAGGUCUGUUGUUUAAUUUUUUUGGUAUAGUUUUAAUCGGACACCUUCCAACCUGAAUGCAAAACCAAAACUUUUAGUCAAGAUGUUGGUUAGUAAUAACAAAGAUUUCGUAUUGUGUCUGUUGCAUUUAGGGUGUUGUAUCCAGGUUGAUGGGUGACAAAUCCCUAUACCCACAACAAAAAUGUUUUAAUCGGUUAUCUGUGUGUUUGCAGUAACACAAAUGUUUUAUUGUAGGGUUGAUUAAUUGGUACUUUUAAUCACUCACCAUCAACCCUUUUUUGCUUUAAAAAACAAUUUUGUACACUGUUACAUUAAAAUGAAUGUUUUGACAACGUUUUUUGCUUUACUCGUUUUUGUUAGUUGAGCUUACUUAAAAAUGUGAGGCAAUCGGUUUCCUUAAAUUUACUAGUAAAGUGAACACUAAUAAUAAGUUAACUCAACUAAUGCUUUUGAGUCACCAGUACUUAAUUGUACUUGAUGUUUAAGUUUAGUCUACAAAUACUAUUUAGUUUUGCCAACUUAAAAUGAAUACAUUAGUUUACUUAUAAAUUUAAGGCAAUCGGUUUCCUCACUUUUUUAAGUUAACUCAACUUAUUACAUUUUACAGUGCAUACAUAACUUGUAUAAAAAAAAAAUAAAAAAAAAUUAAAAAAAACGAAAGCUACAGGGUUUCUGCAGGGUUUAAUCAGUCAAAUUUAAGACUUUCUAGACCUUUUUAUGACUAUUAGGAUUUUAAUUUACAGUUGCAAUCAAAACUAGAAUUAAAAGUUAGUGAACUAACUUUAAUGUUGGCUUGGCCAUCUUGGCCAUGGGGCAAAAGAGCCACAGUACUUGUGUGCCCAACAUUCUUGAGUUGCCCUGCUGCAAAAAAAUAAAAUAAUAAUACCAUAAAAAAAUACACCUGCAACAGUCUUUUUCCAUGGUCCCUUGCUUUUUUCUUUUUUAAUAAAAAGCCUAGGCUAUGAGAACAGCUACGCCAGGGUUGUCUAGUUGAAUGUGAAAUAAGUCAUGCAAAAACCAUAAUCUCCUAAAUACCAUUCAAUUUAAUCUUAUUUUAAUAGUACUGACAACAUAUUUUAAGUUAUCACACAUUAUUGAAAAAUUAAAGAAGGGACACUAUAUAUAGUAUACUUCGGCGAGUCAAGAGCUAAACAAAAAGUCCUGUUUCAUUA